rnacentral:misc_RNA from 1 species
GARUGGUGUUUGGUUUGUUACGGGUGGUUGGCUCUUUGCUUGCGCAACAACUUCCACCUGGCAUGCCUCUUCAGUUUUGCGUCAAUGCUUGUAUUGCAUUGAAUCCAAAGUGGGUUUCUUGUGUUGCAUACCAAAUUUGAUGGUAUCAUUUGAUCAAUUGAUGUCCCUUUUUCGUCUUGUGUCGCACAUGCGAUAUUAGAUGAACCUUGAAGCACUCUUUGUGAUCCACUCUUUCAAUGUUAUGCGUUGAUGGUGUGGCUCAUUAAGUGUUGUUUGGUCUCAUGGAUAUAGAAGUUGGUUUGGGCAUUGGAUCUUAGUAUUCUUACUGGUUCCUUAUUUGCCUUGCUUUAGCUUCUCCAAUACGAUUUGACUAUCACGUAUGGCACGUCUCAGCGUGGUAGUCUAAUUCGAAGAUGAAUG